UGGGGAAUAUUGGGCAAUGGGCGAAAGCCUGACCCAGCAACGCCGCGUGAGGGAAGAAGGUUUUCGGAUUGUAAACCUCUGUCCUUGGGGACGAAGGAAGUGACGGUACCCAAGGAGGAAGCCCCGGCUAACUACGUGCCAGCAGCCGCGGUAAUACGUAGGGGGCGAGCGUUGUCCGGAAUGACUGGGCGUAAAGGGCGCGUAGGCGGCUUGAUAAGUUAGAAGUGAAAGUCCUGCUUUCAAGGUGGGAAUUGCUUUUAAUACUGUUGAGCUUGAGUGCAGAAGAGGUAAGCGGAAUUCCAAGUGUAGCGGUGAAAUGCGUAGAGAUUUGGAAGAACACCAGUGGCGAAGGCGGCUUACUGGGCUGUAACUGACGCUGAGGCGCGAAAGCGUGGGGAGCGAACAGGAUUAGAUACCCUGGUAGU
rnacentral:rRNA from 1 species